CAGCCGCCGCGGUAAUACGGAGGGCGCGAGCGUUACCCGGAUUUACUGGGCGUAAAGGGCGUGUAGGCGGCCUGGGGCGUCCCAUGUGAAAGGCCACGGCUCAACCGUGGAGGAGCGUGGGAUACGCUCAGGCUAGAGGGUGGGAGAGGGUGGUGGAAUUCCCGGAGUAGCGGUGAAAUGCGCAGAUACCGGGAGGAACGCCGAUGGCGAAGGCAGCCACCAGGUCCACUUCUGAUGCUGAGGCGCGAAAGCGUGGGGAGCAAACAGGAUUAGAUACCCCCGUAGUCCCUGUCUCUUAUAC
rnacentral:rRNA from 1 species